UAGCGACAGGCCUAACACAUGCAAGUCGAGGGGCAGCACAAGGAGCAAUCUGAGGUGGCGACCGGCGCACGGGUGAGUAACACGUAUGCAACCUGCCUGUAAGCGGGGAAUAACCCGUUGAAAGACGGACUAAUACCGCAUAAUACUAAAUUACUGCAUGGUAAUUUAUUUAAACAUUUAUGGCUUACAGAUGGGCAUGCGCAUGAUUAGCUAGUUGGAGAGGUAACGGCUCCCCAAGGCAACGAUCAUUAGGGGUUCUGAGAGGAAGGUCCCCCACACUGGUACUGAGACACGGACCAGACUCCUACGGGAGGCAGCAGUGAGGAAUAUUGGUCAAUGGACGAGAGUCUGAACCAGCCAAGUCGCGUGCAGGAAGAAUGUCCUAUGGAUUGUAAACUGCUUUUGCAGGGGAAUAAAGUGCAUCACGUGUGAUGUUUUGUAUGUACUCUGCGAAUAAGGAUCGGCUAACUCCGUGCCAGCAGCAGC
rnacentral:rRNA from 1 species